rnacentral:rRNA from 1 species
UCCGGUUGAUCCUGCCAGAGGCCGCUGCUAUCCGGCUGGGACUAAGCCAUGGGAGUCAUGGGGCGCGGGCCCUUCGGGGUUCGCGCACCGGCGGACGGCUCAGUAACACGUGGCCAACCUGCCCUCGGGAGGGGGAUAACCCCGGGAAACUGGGGCUAAACCCCCAUAGGGGAUGGGUGGUGGAAUUCCCCCAUCCCCGAAAGUGUGCGGUUGCCGUAAGGCGCCGCACAGCCCGAGGAUGGGGCUGCGGCGGAUUAGGUAGUUGGCGGGGUAACGGCCCGCCAAGCCGAAGAUCCGUACGGGCCAUGAGAGUGGGAGCCCGGAGAUGGCCCCUGAGACAAGGGGCCAGGCCCUACGGGGCGCACCAGGCGCGAAACCUCCGCAAUGCGGGAAACCGCGACGGGGUCAGCCGGAGUGCCCGCGCAUCGCGCGGGCUGUCGGGGAGCCUAAACAGCUCCCCAUAGCAAGGGCCGGGCAAGGCCGGUGGCAGCCGCCGCGGUAAUACCGGCGGCCCGAGUGGCGGCCACUAUUAUUGGGCCUAAAGCGUCCGUAGCCGGGCGGGUAAGUCCCCCGGGAAAUCUGGCGGCU